UGGGGAAUAUUGCACAAUGGGGGAAACCCUGAUGCAGCGACGCCGCGUGAACGAAGAAGGUAUCCGUAUCGUAAAGUUCUGUCCUAUGGGAAGAUAAUGACAGUACCAUAGAAGAAAGCUCCGGCUAAAUACGUGCCAGCAGCCGCGGUAAUACGUAUGGAGCGAGCGUUGUCCGGAAUUAUUGGGCGUAAAGGGUACGCAGGCGGUUUAAUAAGUCGAAUGUUAAAGAUCGGGGCUCAACCCCGUAAAGCAUUGGAAACUGAUAAACUUGAGUAGUGGAGAGGAAAGUGGAAUUCCUAGUGUAGUGGUGAAAUACGUAGAUAUUAGGAGGAAUACCAGUAGCGAAGGCGACUUUCUGGACACAAACUGACGCUGAGGUACGAAAGCGUGGGGAGCAAACAGG
rnacentral:rRNA from 1 species